rnacentral:rRNA from 1 species
GGGCCCGCACAAGCGGUGGAGCAUGUGGUUUAAUUCGACGCAACGCGAAGAACCUUACCAGCUCUUGACAUGUCCCGUAUGGGCCUGGGCGACCGGGUCCUUCAGUUCGGCUGGCGGGAACACAGGUGCUGCAUGGCUGUCGUCAGCUCGUGUCGUGAGAUGUUGGGUUAAGUCCCGCAACGAGCGCAACCCUCAUCUUCAGUUGCCAUCGGGUAGAGCCGGGCACUCUGAAGAAACUGCCGGUGACAAGCCGGAGGAAGGCGGGGAUGACGUCAAGUCCUCAUGGCCUUUAUGGGCUGGGCUACACACGUGCUACAAUGGCGGUGACAGAGGGUAGGAGCGAAGGGGCGACCCGGAGCCAAUCCCCAAAAGCCGUCUCAGUUCGGAUUGCACUCUGCAACUCGGGUGCAUGAAGCCGGAAUCGCUAGUAAUCGCGGAUCAGCACGCCGCGGUGAAUACGUUCCCGGGCCUU